GGGUGCCCAGGCGCGAAAACUUUACCAUGCUGGAAACAGCGAUAAGGGGACCUCGAGUGCCAGGUUACAAAUCUGGCUGUCGUGAUGCCUAAAAAGCAUUGCAUAGCAAGGGCCGGGCAAGACCGGUGCCAGCCGCCGCGGUAACACCGGCGGCUCGAGUGGUAACCGUUAUUAUUGGGUCUAAAGGGUCUGUAGCCGGCCGGAUAAGUCUCUUGGGAAAUCCAGCAGCUCAACUGUUGGGCUUUCAGGAGAUACUGUCUGGCUCGAGGCCGGGAGAGGUGAGAGGUACUUCAGGGGUAGGGGUGAAAUCUUGUAAUCCUUGAAGGACCACCAGUGGCGAAGGCGUCUCACCAGAACGGACCUGACGGCAAGGGACGAAAGCUAGGGGCACGAACCGGAUUAGAUACCCGGGUAGUCCUAGCCGUAAACGAUACUCGCUAGGUGUCGGCCACGGUGCGACCGUUGUCGGUGCCGUAGGGAAGCCGUGAAGCGAGCCACCUGGGAAGUACGGCCGCAAGGCUGAAACUUAAAGGAAUUGGCGGGGGAGCAC
rnacentral:rRNA from 1 species